rnacentral:rRNA from 1 species
AGAGUUUGAUCAUGGCUCAGGAUGAACGCUGGCGGCGUGCUUAACACAUGCAAGUCGAACGAUUAACCCGCCCUCGGGCGGUUAUAGAGUGGCGAACGGGUGAGUAACACGUGACCAACCUGCCCCCUUCACCGGGAUAACCCAAGGAAACCUGCGCUAAUACCGGAUACUCCGGGACCCCCGCAUGGGGCUCCCGGGAAAGCCCAGGCGGAAGGGGAUGGGGUCGCGGCCCAUUAGGUAGACGGCGGGGUAACGGCCCACCGUGCCCGCGAUGGGUAGCCGGGUUGAGAGACCGAUCGGCCACAUUGGGACUGAGAUACGGCCCAGACUCCUACGGGAGGCAGCAGUGGGGAAUUUUGCGCAAUGGGGGAAACCCUGACGCAGCAACGCCGCGUGCGGGACGACGGCCUUCGGGUUGUAAACCGCUUUCAGCAGGGAAUAAUUUUGAAGGUACCUGCAGAAGAAGCUCCGGCUAACUACGUGCCAGCAGCCGCGGUAAUACGUAGGGAGCGAGCGUUAUCCGGAAUCAUUGGGCGUAAAGCGCGCGUAGGCGGCCCGUCAAGCGGGGUUUCAAAUCCAGGGGCUCAACCUCUGGCCGGACCCCGAACUGGCGGGCUCGAGUGCGGUAGAGGAAGGUGGAAUUCCCAGUGUAGCGGUGAAAUGCGCAGAUAUUGGGAAGAACACCGAUGGCGAAGGCAGCCUUCUGGGCCGCCACUGACGCUGAGGCGCGAAAGCUAGGGGAGCGAACAGGAUUAGAUACCCUGGUAGUCCGCACGGUAAACGAUGGAUGCCCGCUGUUGGUCUGAAUAGGUCAGCGGCCAAGCGAAAGCAUUAAGCAUCCCACCUGGGGAGUACGCCGGCAACGGUGAAACUCAAAGGAAUUGACGGGGGCCCGCACAAGCGGAGGAACAUGUGGUUUAAUUCGAUGAUACGCGAGGAACCUUACCCGGGCUUGAAUUGCAGAGGAAGGAUUUGGAGACAAUGACGCCCUUCGGGGCCUCUGUGAAGGUGCUGCAUGGUUGUCGUCAGCUCGUGCCGUGAGGUGUCGGCUUAAGUGCCAUAACGAGCGCAACCCCUCUCCUUAGUUGCCAUCAGGUUAAGCUGGGCACUCUGGGGACACUGCCACCGUAAGGUGUGAGGAAGGUGGGGAUGACGUCAAAUCAGCACGGCCCUUACGUCCGGGGCUACACACGUGUUACAAUGGCAGGUACAGAGAGACGGUCCCUUGCAAAACGGAUCAAAUCCUUAAAGCCUGUCUCAGUUCGGACUGGGGUCUGCAACCCGACCCCACGAAGCUGGAUUCGCUAGUAAUCGCGCAUCAGCCAUGGCGCGGUGAAUACGUUCCCGGGCCUUGUACACACCGCCCGUCAAGCCAUGAAAGCCGGGGGCGCCUAAAGUCCGUGACCGUAAGGAGCGGCCUAGGGCGAAACUGGUAAUUGGGGCUAAGUCGUAACAAGGUA